AGGGAGACUGUGCUUAUGCUUCUUCUUCUUUGUUUGCUAAUGGUUUGUUGGUUGGUUAAGUGGCAUAUGUGCAGGAAGAGCUGCGCUUUUAAUCACGGGCGAAUAUAGAAUCAUGAGCCUCGGGAGAGUGAUCCGUGCCGUGGUGGGGGUAUUGCCUCUGAGGGACAAGGUAAUGCUACGAUUGCAAUAUAAAUAAUUGCGGAAUUGGGAUGGUUAGAAAUUUUGAGCGGAAUUUUAAGUUUACAGCGAGUUUAAAAGAACAUUGGGUGAAUAUAUAUAUUUUUUGGUAUAUAUAGUUUCUGAUAGGAGGAAUCGAGAUAGUUACCAUAUACAAAGUUAAGAAUUGACACAAGCUGUGAGAUCGGUCUCAACAUAGUUCAAGAGAUAUGAAAGAGUAUGUCUCGCCAUUCAAAAGACAACUCUAUUACCUGCAGAUGCAAGCGAGGAUAAGUCGUCAGGAAGUCCAAAUUUUUUACGAUGACACACAUGCCACCUGUUAAAUGCUCCGACAUGAUAGCCUGUAAAGCACCAGCUUCGUGUCUCCUCAAUACCACCUCUCAAAGUCUCAAACCCACACCGAAAUCCCCAAAUAUAUCUCCUGGGGAGCCAACAGACCUGAAUUGGGCCAUACAAGCUCGUACGGGAAAACUCGAGGCGGUACAAGACUAAUAGAUUCAUUCAACAAGAAAGAAGCGAUUAAAUACCGCAUGGGUGUCCACUAUGAGGUGUGAUUAGAUUCGAAUUCAGGACUUCUAGAUUACCAAUUACACAAAUGUACCAACUGAACUAUCUCACUUAAACACAUUGGACAAAUACUUCAAUUUUGAAAAUUUUACAUAGGAUUUCAUCAUUUUGAAACCGGAUAAACCUAAUCAACAGUCAAAUUUACCAACUCCUAAUUCCACCAUUGUGUACCAGCCGGUUCCACCAGAUCGAUCCAGAGUCAAUCGCCAUGUUAGGUAGGGCUCAUCAGAUGAGUGGUUCGUCGAGAAUAUUUGUUCUUUGUGUUGAGUUUUGGUAAUGAUGGUGAUCCUUUUUUUAACAAUACACCCACCUGAACUGAACAAGUUUCUUUGAUAAUUCCUUACGACUAUUAGGCCAUAACAUUUUGAUGCUCAAUUUCAG
rnacentral:lncRNA from 1 species